rnacentral:rRNA from 1 species
AGCAGCCGCGGUAAUUCCAGCUCCAAUAGCGUAUAUUAAAGUUGUUGCAGUUAAAAAGCUCGUAGUUGAAUUUCGAGAUCAGUACGCUGGUCGUGCCUUUGGUAUGCACUGGUGUCACUGGUUUCUCCCUUCUGAAGAACUGUCAUGCCAUUCAGUUGGUGUGGCGGGGAAUCAGGACUGUUACUUUGAAAAAAUUAGAGUGUUUAAAGCAGGCUCGCGCUUGAAUACAUUAGCAUGGAAUAAUGAAAUAGGACGUUUGACCCUAUUUUGUUGGUUUCUAGGAUCGACGUAAUGAUUAAUAGGGAUAGUUGGGGGCAUUAGUAUUCAAUUGUCAGAGGUGAAAUUCUUGGAUUUAUUGAAGACUUACUACUGCGAAAGCAUUUGCCAAGGAUGUUUUCAUUAAUCAAGAACGAAAGUUAGGGGAUCGAAGACGAUCAGAUACCGUCGUAGUCUUAACCAUAAACUAUGCCGACUAGGGAUCGGAUGAUGUUAAUUUUUAAUGACUCU